AUUGAACGCUGGCGGCAGGCCUAACACAUGCAAGUCGAACGGUAACAGGAAGAAGCUUGCUUCUUUGCUGACGAGUGGCGGACGGGUGAGUAAUGUCUGGGAAACUGCCUGAUGGAGGGGGAUAACUACUGGAAACGGUAGCUAAUACCGCAUAACGUCGCAAGACCAAAGAGGGGGACCUUCGGGCCUCUUGCCAUCGGAUGUGCCCAGAUGGGAUUAGCUGGUAGGUGGGGUAACGGCUCACCUAGGCGACGAUCCCUAGCUGGUCUGAGAGGAUGACCAGCCACACUGGAACUGAGACACGGUCCAGACUCCUACGGGAGGCAACAGUGGGGAAUAUUGCACAAUGGGCGCAAGCCUGAUGCAGCCAUGCCGCGUGUAUGAAGAAGGCCUUCGGGUUGUAAAGUACUUUCAGCGGGGAGGAAGGGAGUAAAGUUAAUACCUUUACUCAUUGACGUUACCCGCAGAAGAAGCACCGGCUAACUCCGUG
rnacentral:rRNA from 1 species